rnacentral:rRNA from 1 species
AGGAGCAUGUGGUUAAUUCGAUGAUACGCGAGGAACCUUACCUGGGCUCGAACGUAAGAUGACUGUAGGUGAAAGCUUACAUCUCUUCGGAGCAUUUUACGAGGUGCUGCAUGGUUGUCGUCAGCUCGUGCCGUGAGGUGUCGGGUUAAGUCCCAUAACGAGCGCAACCCCUACCUUUAGUUGCCAUCAGGUUAAGCUGGGGACUCUAAAGGAACUGCCUACGCAAGUAGUGAGGAAGGCGGGGAUGACGUCAAAUCAGCACGGCUCUUACGUCCAGGGCUACACACGUGCUACAAUGGCCGAUACAGAGGGCAGCUACCUGGUGACAGGAUGCAAAUCUCCAAAGUCGGUCUCAGUUCGGAUCGGAGUCUGCAACCCGACUCCGUGAAGUUGGAUUCGCUAGUAAUCGUGAAUCAGAAUGUCACGGUGAAUACGUUCCCGGGCCUU